AAUAUGCAGCAUCAAUUUGUGGAAAAGAAUUUUGCUACUUUAUUACAUCAAUGUCUUAGUUGUAUAAAAAAAGGUUCGAGCAAAGAGAUAGCUCUAGCUUCUCAUGCCAUUGGAUUGUUGGCUUUGACAGUUGGCUGUGGUGAUAAUGCACAUGAAAUAAUGGAAGAGUCAGUCAUUCCUCUUUCCCAAGCUCUUAAAUCUAGGUCUGAAUCCUCAAAGAAGCUACUGGAGUGUUUGGCUGUUGUCACUUUUGUUGGAGGAAAUGAGCCAGCAGAAGCUAAGCGCUCAAUGCAAAUCAUGUGGCAAUUGGUCCGCCCUAAACUUGGGUCUAAUGUAGUUGCUGGCAAAUCUUCUGCACCUGUAAUAACAGCAGUGGUGUCUGCCUG
rnacentral:misc_RNA from 1 species